rnacentral:rRNA from 1 species
GAAAGUAACNNNUCACCAAGGCGAAGGCAGCAGUAGGGAAUCUUCCGCAAUGGACGAAAGUCUGACGGAGCAACGCCGCGUGAGUGAUGAAGGUUUUCGGAUCGUAAAACUCUGUUGUUAGGNAAGAACAAGUNUCGUUCGAAUAGGGCGGUACCUUGACGGUACCUAACCAGAAAGCCACGGCUAACUACGUGCCAGCAGCCGCGGUAAUACGUAGGUGGGUUGCGUUGUCCGGAAUUAUUGGGCGUAAAGCGCGCGCAGGCGGUUNCUUAAGUCUGAUGUNAAAGCCCACGGCUCAACCGUGGANGGUCAUUNGAAACUGGGAGACUCCGGUGCAGAAGAGAAGAGCGGAAUUCCACGUGUAGCGGUGUUUUGCGUNCAGAUGUGGAGGAACACCAGUGGCGAAGGCGGCUCUUUGGUCUGUAACUGACGCUGAGGCGCGAAAGCGUCCCCAGCGAACAGGAUUAGAUACCUGGUAGUCCACGCCGUAAACGAUGAGUGCUAAGUGUUAGAGGUAUAGCGCCCAUUAGUGCUGCAGCUAACGCAUUAAGCACUCCGCCUGGGGAGUACGGCCGCAAGGCUGAAACUCAAAGGAAUUGACGGGGGCCCGNUCAAGCGGUGGAGCAUGUGGUUUAAUUCGAAGCAACGCGAAGAACCUUACCAGGUCUUGACAUCCUCUUGACCUCCCUAGAGAUAGGGAUNUCCCUUCGGGGACAAGAGUGACAGGUGGUGCAUGGUUGUCGUCAGCUCGUGUCGUGAGAUGUUGGGUUAAGUCCCGCAACGAGCGCAACCCUUGACCUUAGUUGCCAGCAUUNAGUUGGGCACUCUAAGGACUCUGCCGGUGACAAUGGGAAACCAUCCCCACAGAUGUAACCCGUGAAGU